GUCGUAAGCGGCGCUGCGGCCUCGGUUGGGGAGGAGUGAGGCCUCCACGUUCCGUACUCACCUGCGAGGUGUCCUGCGCGGACGGGAGCGAUGUCCGAGAAAAAGCAGCCGGUCGACUUGGGUCUCCUCGAGGAGGAUGACGAGUUCGAGGAGUUCCCUGCCGAAGACUGGGCUGGUUUAGAUGAAGAUGAAGAUGCACAUGUCUGGGAGGAUAAUUGGGAUGAUGACAAUGUCGAGGAUGACUUCUCCAAUCAGUUGCGAGCUGAACUGGAGAAACAUGGUUACAAGAUGGAGACUUCAUAACUUUCAGAAGAAAUUUUGAAGUAACCUAAACUUGAACUGUUGACUAAAUUCUAGGAUGGAGAACCCAGGAUCUGCUUGGAUUUAUUUUUGUUUUUGUAGCACAAGAAAAAUAAAUGUUUUGCUCUAAGUUUG